GAUGAACGCUGGCGGCGUGCUUAACACAUGCAAGUCGAACGAAGCAUAUUGAAACUUUCGGGUUUCAAUAUGACUUAGUGGCGGACGGGUGAGUAACGCGUAGGUAACCUGCCUUAUACAGGGGGAUAACAGCUGGAAACGGCUGCUAAUACCGCAUAACACAAAGAAGUCGCAUGACUUUUUUGCCAAAGAUUUAUCGGUAUAAGAUGGACCUGCGUCUGAUUAGCUAGUUGGUGAGGUAAUGGCUCACCAAGGCGACGAUCAGUAGCCGACUUGAGAGAGUGAUCGGCCACAUUGGGACUGAGACACGGCCCAAACUCCUACGGGAGGCAGCAGUGGGGAAUAUUGCACAAUGGGGGAAACCCUGAUGCAGCGACGCCGCGUGAGUGAAGAAGUAUUUCGGUAUGUAAAGCUCUAUCAGCAGGGACGAAAAAGACGGUACCUGACUAAGAAGCCCCGGCUAACUACGUGCCAGCCGCCGCAGUAACAC
rnacentral:rRNA from 1 species